UACAAUGAGAGUUUGAUCCUGGCUCAGAACGAACGCUGGCGGCGUGCCUAACACAUGCAAGUCGGACGCUUCACAUUGGGCCACGGAGUCCAUUUCUGGAAGGAAGUGGGUUGCGUGGUCCAAUGUGGGGAGUGGCGGACGGGUGAGUAACACGUAGGUGACCUGCCCCGAGGCGGGGGGCAACCUGGGGAAACCCGGGCUAAUACCCCGUAAGCCCAUGGAAGUAGAGUUUCAUGGGGAAAGCAGCAAUGCGCCUUGGGAUGGGCCUGCGGCCUAUCAGGUAGUUGGUGAGGUAACGGCCCACCAAGCCGAAGACGGGUAGCCGGUCUGAGAGGAUGGACGGCCACACUGGAACUGAGACACGGUCCAGACUCCUACGGGAGGCAGCAGUGGGGAAUUUUGCGCAAUGGGGGAAACCCUGACGCAGCGACGCCGCGU
rnacentral:rRNA from 1 species